AUGUUUUCCAGCAACAAGGCAAAGCAUCAUGAAAAAGCUAGUGGACACUGUACUGGGGCUUUUGUUUGCCCAGGUUUGCUGUGUGAGAGGGAUGGAUGUGAUGCAGAGUCCCCCAGCCCUGAGUCUCCAGGAGGGAGCCAGCUCUACUCUGCAGUGGACAAAGCAGGAAGGAAGAUUAAAUGCCACGACAGUCCCCAAAGAAGGCCGAAGCUCACUGCACAUUUCCUCUCUGUGGACCACAGACUCGGGCACUUACUUCUGUGCUGUACAGCACGGUGCUCCCCAGGCACCUGCAGCCUCUACAUGA